AUAAAUUAAGUGGCGGCCGCCAGUUAAAUAAAUAUUAAUUCUAUACGAUGGCACCAAUCUGCUUCCGUACUCCACAGACCUUGAAAGCCUAGCUGCAUGAGAAACCACCGAGAAAAUGUCCUUUCACCCAGAGAAAUACAAUGUGUUAAACAUCAGCAGUGAGACCAAGCCCACAAAAACAUCAUAUACGCUGCGCGGACACACCCUAGGUUUGGUUGAAAUUGGCACAUUGGUAGUGGAAAGAAAGAGUUUUGGUUCAUAUGAAGUAAAGACAAGCCUGUACUAACAGGAUGGAGAAAAUGAUGGAUACCAGAUCGCAAGAAGCAAAACCACCUAUCCUGGCAUAUGUAAGCCAAAGGAACUGACAGGAGCAUUGAGAAAUGAUUUGAUAAAAUUUCCACUCAUGAAUGCACUCUUCAUCUCAAUUUUACCUGUACCUGGUCAUUAAAUUUUUCAAUAAUUUAUAGUUACCUUUAUAUUUAUUUAGUCCCUUGAACAACAUUCCACAAAUUUCACAUUUUUUAUUAAUCAUUUUGCUGACUUUCUUCUCUUCUCCCGUUGCUUCUUCUGAAAUAUAUGUAUAAAUGUUGCAUUAAUGGUGCUAAUAUACAAGUAUAAGAUACGUUUGUCCAUGAAAUAAGUGAACUGAGGUCUAUUUUUCCUGUGACGUGUUAUGUAUAACCUUUACAGCAUAGUCAGAAAAAUCUGAAUCGAUUCAUUAUUUGACAUCAUUUGAGUAUCAAACAAACAAAAAUAGUCUUAUAAUUCAAGUGCUGCAUCAUCUACAUGGUAGGUAUAAAGGUUUGGAUGAAGAAGAAAGAUCAUUACCUUCACUAGCACCGUCAGCUGAAGGUUGCUUCUCUGUAGUUUUUGUGGCUGUUGCAACUGUGUCCUUCACUGGACUUGUGCUCUGUAUGUUUUCUUCCUCCAGCUCCUCUGGAGGCAGAAUAGACUUGACAGCAGUCGUAGUCAUUUUAUCACUUGCAAACUUGAUUCUCGUCUCAUUCCCCUCUAUGGUGGUGUCAGGUCUGGAGGCAUUUUCUGCAUCUGUAGGCUGUUCGGUUAUCGUCUUGGUCCUACUUAAAGUGUCACUAUUUGAACUGCAUUCUGUUUUUAUAUCACCCUGUUUCUGUGGAGUUUGGUUCUGGGACUUGCUCUGUUCUUCUAUCUCUUUAUCCUGCUCUUUAUCCUCCUCUCUUUCUGAUUCUUGAUUACUCGUCUCAUUUUGUGGAGUUUCGUGUUCUUUUUUCACCACUUCUGAUAUAUCAUGCAUCACUGGAUCUGUGAAUUUUUCUUUCCCAGCAA